rnacentral:lncRNA from 1 species
GUAAGCUCUGUCUGCAUAUUAUUACUCAUUCCACAUUUUGCUGCUUUUCUAUAUUACAGUAAACUAUAGAAGCAGAUGUCUGUACCAAAAAUGAAAGAUGCUGCUAUGGUCAGAAAAUGGUGGUGCCAAUAUACUUCCUCUGCCUAACCUACUCCAUGUUCCCAUAAAGGAGUGAAGAAACUGAGACCUAGAAGGGAAAAUUAGUGCCUGGCCGUGCAAAUCACCAGGGCUUUUGGAGGCCUUGUUACACUGUGAAAACAAGGAACAGCAGAACACAGGAGGUAGACACAGGAAAAUAUGAAUGUCAAGAUCAUUCUAAGCAUGUCUAUGAACUGACUGAGUCCAUUUCAAAGGAAAGCUUUGUACAAGCUUGACAAUUAUUCUACAGGUGAGUAACACUCUUCGUCCAAAUAUUUAAGGUUCUCCUUUCUUUAUGUAAAAGCUUAACUUUCCAC